rnacentral:rRNA from 1 species
CCUACGGGUGGCUGCAGUGAGGAAUAUUGGUCAAUGGCCGCAGGCCUGAACCAGCCAAGUCGCGUGAGGGAUGACGGUCCUACGGAUUGUAAACCUCUUUUGUCAGGGAGCAACGCGCGCCACGUGUGGCGUUCUGCGAGUACCUGACGAACAAGCACCGGCUAACUCCGUGCCAGCAGCCGCGGUAAUACGGAGGAUGCGAGCGUUAUCCGGAUUUAUUGGGGUUAAAGGGUGCGUAGGCGGAAGGUCAAGUCAGCGGCAAAAUUUCGGGGCUCAACCCCGGCGUGGCGUUGAAACUGGGGUUAUGGAGUGAGCGAGAAGUAGGCGGAAUGCGUGGUGUAGCGGUGAAAUGCAUAGAUAUCACGCAGAACUCCGAUUGCGAAGGCAGCUCACUGGGGUGUGACUGACGUUGAGGCUCGAAGGCGUGGGGAGCAAACAGGAUUAGAUACCCCAGUAGUC